UCAUAAGAUGUCUGGGCGUUGCUUCACUUUAACCCAGAAGAGAGAGAGUAGUUGGGAGAGAGUCUGGGGUGGGCUGGCCAAGGUGGGCGAGAGGUAAAUGGGGAUUCAUUAGACUCAUGUGUAGACUCAAAAUUCUCCAUAAUAUAAAACGAAGGCAAAUCAGAUCAGCCUCUUCCCUCAGCACCUUUGGCGGCCCAAUACAGUGGGCCAAAUGCCAGCCCCUGUGACCUGGACCCCUCUUCCUCCAGGCUUCUCUCUGCUCCUCCAAAGCUCCGAGCUUCACCUCCGCUCCUGCGGCCAACUCCCUCUCAGCCUCCAGGUCUCAGUGUGGACAUCACUCUUUAAGGGACCUUCCCUGGACAAUACUGUUCAAACAGGGGCCUCCUGAGCAUCCCUUCCCUCACAGUAUCUCAUGGUUUUUCUCCAGAACGCUGUCCCCGGUGGGGCCUGCAGAUGCAUGUGUGCUUCCACGUUCUCCCCAGGAAACUCCGAGGACAGCGCAUUUGUGAGAGCAGCAUUGGUUCUCCUCCCCCCAUGCCUGGACAGUGACCUGUCCCUGGAAUGCUAUCCCCUGAGGGUAACUUCAAUUGCCCAGUGGGGCACUUUGUCAGAUCCCAUCCCCGGUUGGUCCCUGCCCCCCACCCCCCAUCUGGAGCCAGACAGGGGAGGGCUGAGAGGCAGGCAGCCCACCAGACAGGGCAGCCACUGCCCACCCUCAUCCAGACACAAAUGGGACAGCAGCCCAGAAAGUUGAUCUUCUGGAACGUGGACUACCCUUCCAGAGUCUCCCGACUCCCUCAAGUCACCUCCUUGCCGACCCCACCCAGUCCCAGCCUCCAGGACUUUACCCCUUCCCACUCCAGAUUCAGCCCUGGUCCCCAGUCCCAUGCUGGAAGGGAGGAAGGCACAAGAGAUCAGACAGCACCUUGGGGGUGAGGACCACCGUGGAGCCCCCGCUGAUGCUGAGGAUGGGCGCGUGCGUCUGGGAGGAGACAAAGUCCAGGAGCUGGGCCACUGCCUCGGUGCCCACAUUGUCCUCAAAGACGAUGCCGUGGACCCGGGCAGCACCCAGGAGCCCACAGAUCUGGGUGAGAAGGCUGCUGGGGUUGGUGCUGUUGACUCCCACAGUGAGCGGCUGUAUCUCCAGAGGCAGGUCCAAGAAGUUCUGGGGGGUGAGGCGGAUACGGGCCUGGGCCUGGGCCUGCGGUGGCUCUGAGCUGCCAAACACCACGGCCACUGUCAUAGCCUGCUGGCCCUGCCCCAAGCCGGACCCUGCCCAGGCACCAAGGAGCGAGUCCCUACAGGUUGCCCACUUUCAGGAAGCCUCAACCCUCCUGCCACUUCCACCUCCCAACAAUGAGCUCUCGGUCCUCAAUUUGUGCUGGCCAAUACGGUAUCCCCAGCCCCAGGCAACUGUAGAGUACUGAAAUGUUUCUCAUCCAAACCCAGCAUGUUGUCAGUGUGAAAUGCACACUGCAUAUGGAGAGAGCAUAAAAAAAUGAAAGCCACCUCAUUGAUGGUCUUAUAUUGAUUACAUGUUGAAAU
rnacentral:lncRNA from 1 species